rnacentral:rRNA from 1 species
GAGUUUGAUCCUGGCUCAGAUUGAACGCUGGCGGCAGGCCUAACACAUGCAAGUCGAACGGUAACAGAAAGCAGCUUGCUGCUUUGCUGACGAGUGGCGGACGGGUGAGUAAUGUCUGGGAAACUGCCUGAUGGAGGGGGAUAACUACUGGAAACGGUAGCUAAUACCGCAUAACGUCGCAAGACCAAAGAGGGGGACCUUCGGGCCUCUUGCCAUCGGAUGUGCCCAGAUGGGAUUAGCUUGUUGGUGGGGUAACGGCUCACCAAGGCGACGAUCUCUAGCUGGUCUGAGAGGAUGACCAGCCACACUGGAACUGAGACACGGUCCAGACUCCUACGGGAGGCAGCAGUGGGGAAUAUUGCACAAUGGGCGCAAGCCUGAUGCAGCCAUGCCGCGUGUAUGAAGAAGGCCUUCGGGUUGUAAAGUACUUUCAGCGGGGAGGAAGGGAGUAAAGUUAAUACCUUUGCUCAUUGACGUUACCCGCAGAAGAAGCACCGGCU